rnacentral:rRNA from 1 species
UCCGUAGGGUGCAAGCGUUAAUCGGAAUUACUGGGCGUAAAGCGUGCGCAGGCGGCUUUGCAAGACAGAUGUGAAAUCCCCGGGCUCAACCUGGGAACUGCAUUUGUGACUGCAAGGCUAGAGUACGGUAGAGGGGGAUGGAAUUCCGCGUGUAGCAGUGAAAUGCGUAGAUAUGCGGAGGAACACCGAUGGCGAAGGCAAUCCCCUGGACCUGUACUGACGCUCAUGCACGAAAGCGUGGGGAGCAAACAGG